UACACACCGCCCGUCACGCCAUGGGAGUUGGUUUCACCCGAAGGUGGUGCGCUAACCCGCAAGGGAGGCAGCCAACCACGGUGGGAUCAGCGACUGGGGUG
rnacentral:rRNA from 1 species